GACCUCGGAUCAGGUAGGGAUACCCGCUGAACUUAAGCAUAUCAAUAAGCGGAGGAAAAGAAACCAACCGGGAUUGCCUCAGUAACGGCGAGUGAAGCGGCAAGAGCUCAAAUUUGAAAGCUGGCUCCUUCGGGGUCCGCAUUGUAAUUUGCAGAGGAUGCUUCGGGUGCGGCCCCUGUCUAAGUGCCCUGGAACGGGCCGUCAGAGAGGGUGAGAAUCCCGUCUGGGAUGGGGUGUCCGCGCCCGUGUGAAGCUCCUUCGACGAGUCGAGUUGUUUGGGAAUGCAGCUCUAAAUGGGUGGUAAAUUUCAUCUAAAGCUAAAUACUGGCCGGAGACCGAUAGCGCACAAGUAGAGUGAUCGAAAGAUGAAAAGCACUUUGAAAAGAGAGUUAAAAAGCACGUGAAAUUGUUGAAAGGGAAGCGCUUGCGACCAGACUCGCCUCCAGGGUUCAGCCGGCAUUCGUGCCGGUGUACUUCCCUGGGGGCGGGCCAGCGUCGGUUUGGGCGGCCGGUCAAAGGCUCCCGGAAUGUAGUGCCCUCCGGGGCACCUUAUAGCCGGGAGUGCAAUGCGGCCAGCCUGGACCGAGGAACGCGCUUCGGCACGGACGCUGGCAUAAUGGUCGUAAACGACC
rnacentral:rRNA from 1 species